UCUCUCCUGAGUGGAUCCUGAGUACGGAGGAACACGUGAAAUUCCGUCGGAAUCUGGGAGGACCAUCUCCCAAGGCUAAAUACUCUCUAGUGACCGAUAGUGAACCAGUACCGUGAGGGAAAGGUGAAAAGCACCCCGGGAGGGGAGUGAAAGAGAUCCUGAAACCAUGUGCCUACAAGUAGUUAGAGCCCGUUAAUGGGUGAU
rnacentral:rRNA from 1 species